GACGAACGCUGGCGGCGUGCUUAACACAUGCAAGUCGUACGGUAAGGCCCUUUCGGGGGUACACGAGUGGCGCACGGGUGAGUAACACGUGAGUAACCUGCCCACAACUUUGGGAUAACGCUAGGAAACUGGUGCUAAUACUGGAUAUGUGCUCCUGCUGCAUGGUGGGGGUUGGAAAGCUCCGGCGGUUGUGGAUGGACUCGCGGCCUAUCAGCUUGUUGGUGGGGUAGUGGCCUACCAAGGCGGCGACGGGUAGCCGGCCUGAGAGGGUGACCGGCCACAUUGGGACUGAGAUACGGCCCAGACUCCUACGGGAGGUAGCAGUGGGGAAUAUUGCACAAUGGGCGCAAGCCUGAUGCAGCAACGCCGCGUGCGGGAUGACGGCCUUCGGGUUGUAAACCGCUUUCAGCAGGGACGAAGCUUUUUGUGACGGUACCUGCAGAAGAAGCACCGGCUAACUACGUG
rnacentral:rRNA from 1 species